UCUUUGCUAGUAUAUCGGUUAGUACACGCGCCUGUCAUUUUCCCGUGUACUACGCGCGAAAGCUGGGUUCGACUCCCAGGCAGAGAG